UUCUGUCUGAAGAGUCCCUAAAAGGACGAAACGCGUGUCAUAGAU
rnacentral:hammerhead_ribozyme from 1 species